rnacentral:rRNA from 1 species
GACGGGUGAGUAAUGCCUAGGAAUCUGCCUGGUAGUGGGGGAUAACGCUCGGAAACGGACGCUAAUACCGCAUACGUCCUACGGGAGAAAGCAGGGGACCUUCGGGCCUUGCGCUAUCAGAUGAGCCUAGGUCGGAUUAGCUAGUUGGUGAGGUAAUGGCUCACCAAGGCGACGAUCCGUAACUGGUCUGAGAGGAUGAUCAGUCACACUGGAACUGAGACACGGUCCAGACUCCUACGGGAGGCAGCAGUGGGGAAUAUUGGACAAUGGGCGAAAGCCUGAUCCAGCCAUGCCGCGUGUGUGAAGAAGGUCUUCGGAUUGUAAAGCACUUUAAGUUGGGAGGAAGGGUUGUAGAUUAAUACUCUGCAAUUUUGACGUUACCGACAGAAUAAGCACCGGCUAACUCUGUGCCAGCAGCCGCGGUAAUACAGAGGGUGCAAGCGUUAAUCGGAAUUACUGGGCGUAAAGCGCGCGUAGGUGGUUCGUUAAGUUGGAUGUGAAAGCCCCGGGCUCAACCUGGGAACUGCAUUCAAAACUGUCGAGCUAGAGUAUGGUAGAGGGUGGUGGAAUUUCCUGUGUAGCGGUGAAAUGCGUAGAUAUAGGAAGGAACACCAGUGGCGAAGGCGACCACCUGGACUGAUA